rnacentral:misc_RNA from 1 species
ACACCUCAACUCUCAUGGUUCGCCGUGAUGAGCUUGGAGUCUGGAGGUUUUGCUGGUCUCUGGUCAGCUCCUCUCAAAUGAAUCAGCUUGCCGGUAUCUGGUGGCGUCACGGGUGUGAUAAUUAUCUGCGCUUGUGGUUGUCUGCCAGGUAACCUUCAACCUUGGAGGUUUGCUGGGGCUUACAAAUGUCUCUCCUCAGUGAAGACAGCUUUCUGAAC